rnacentral:rRNA from 1 species
UACGGAGGAUCCAAGCGUUAUCCGGAUUUAUUGGGUUUAAAGGGUGCGUAGGCGGCCUAUUAAGUCAGGGGUGAAAGACGGUAGCUUAACUAUCGCAGUGCCUUUGAUACUGAUGGGCUUGAAUACACUAGAGGUAGGCGGAAUGUGACAAGUAGCGGUGAAAUGCAUAGAUAUGUCACAGAACACCAAUUGCGAAGGCAGCUUACUAGGGUGCAAUUGACGCUGAGGCACGAAAGCGUGGGGAUCAAACAGG